GAUGAACGCUGGCGGCGUGCCUAAUACAUGCAAGUCGAGCGAACAGACGAGGAGCUUGCUCCUCUGACGUUAGCGGCGGACGGGUGAGUAACACGUGGAUAACCUACCUAUAAGACUGGGAUAACUUCGGGAAACCGGAGCUAAUACCGGAUAAUAUAUUGAACCGCAUGGUUCAAUAGUGAAAGACGGUUUUGCUGUCACUUAUAGAUGGAUCCGCGCCGCAUUAGCUAGUUGGUAAGGUAACGGCUUACCAAGGCAACGAUGCGUAGCCGACCUGAGAGGGUGAUCGGCCAAACGGGAACGGAGAAACGGUCCAGACUCCUACGGGAGGCAGCAGAAGGGAAGCUUCCGCAAUGGGCGAAAGCCUGACGGAGAAACGCGGCGGGAGUGAUGAAGGUCUUCGGAUCGUAAAACUCUGUUAUUAGGGAAGAACAAAUGUGUAAGUAACUAUGCACGUCUUGACGGUACCUAAUCAGAAAGCCACGGCUAACUACGU
rnacentral:rRNA from 1 species